UCAGCUUGUUGGUGAGGUAAUGGCUCACCAAGGCGACGACGGGUAGCCGGCCUGAGAGGGUGACCGGCCACACUGGGACUGAGACACGGCCCAGACUCCUACGGGAGGCAGCAGUGGGGAAUAUUGCACAAUGGGCGCAAGCCUGAUGCAGCGACGCCGCGUGAGGGAUGACGGCCUUCGGGUUGUAAACCUCUUUCAGCAGGGAAGAAGCGAAAGUGACGGUACCUGCAGAAGAAGCGCCGGCUAACUACGUGCCAGCAGCCGCGGUAAUACGUAGGGCGCAAGCGUUAUCCGGAAUUAUUGGGCGUAAAGAGCUCGUAGGCGGUUUGUCGCGUCUGCCGUGAAAUUCCGAGGCUCAACCUCCAGCCUGCGGUGGGUACGGGCAGACUAGAGUGCGGUAGGGGAGACUGGAAUUCCUGGUGUAGCGGUGAAAUGCGCAGAUAUCAGGAGGAACACCGAUGGCGAAGGCAGAUCUCUGGGCCGUUACUGACGCUGAGGAGCGAAAGGGUGGGGAGCAAACAGGCUUAGAUACCCUGGUAGUCCAUGCCGUAAACGUUGGGAACUAGUUGUGGGGUGACAUCCACGAUCGCACGA
rnacentral:rRNA from 1 species